rnacentral:rRNA from 1 species
UGGGGAAUCUUGACAAUGGGCGCAAGCCUGAUCCAGCCAUGCCGCGUGAGUGAAGAAGGCCUUCGGGUUGUAAAGCUCUUUCGGACGGGACGAAAUGGUUAGCGUGAAUAACGCUGACUGAUGACGGUACCGUAAUAAGAAGCACCGGCUAACUACGUGCCAGCAGCCGCGGUAAUACGUAGGGUGCGAGCGUUAAUCGGAAUUACUGGGCGUAAAGCGUGCGCAGGCGGUUCGCCAAGUCAGGUGUGAAAUCCCCGGGCUUAACCUGGGAAUUGCGCUUGAAACUAGCGGGCUUGAGUGUGGCAGAGGGGGGUGGAAUUCCACGUGUAGCAGUGAAAUGCGUAGAGAUCUGGAGGAACACCGAUGGCGAAGGCAGCCCCCUGGGCUAACACUGACGCUCAUGCACGAAAGCGUGGGGAGCAAACAGGAUUAGAUACCCUUGUAGUCCCUGAGCGGGCUGGCAAGGCGCAU